ensembl:lncRNA LINC02240 long intergenic non-protein coding RNA 2240
ACCACCGAGAAGGUCUGCAGCUUCACUGCAGAAGCCAGUGAGACCACAAACCUACCGAAAGUAAGAAACUCUGGACACAUGUGAACAUCUGAGGGAACAAACUCCGGACACACCAUCUUUCAGAACUGUAACACUCACCGCGAGCGUCGGCGGCUUGGUUCUUGAAGUCAGCGAGACCAAGAACCCACCAAUUCCGAACACUCUCAUGGAACAGUUCUGGGAACACAGCACUGAUAAAACUCUUAGGGAUGAAUUUACCUAUACCUGUGUUUCAGCCUUGUGAUCUGAUUCCACAGGAUGCGAGCAUAUGCAGUGGAAACAUUGUGUUAUUCCAUCCUCAGAAGAAAAGAGACAGUAUUAUACUUCGUCUCUUGCUAGUACAGAACUACCACAGAAACAUACCAGGAAAGCUGAGAGAAUCCACAGAUCCUUUGAAGGAAGUGGCUUGCUGUUGCAGGCUCCUUGAGACAGCCAAAAACUGACCUCCAGUACAAUUUUCAGGAGAAGUGGCAAGAAUGGACAUCCACCUCCCACCAUGUGAUGACAUGGCCAGUUAAAAGGAAAUGAUCUGACUGUUCUGCAUCUGCUAGUGAUUGAAGGCAAAUGGGAAGCAGUGCGCAAGUUCCCGUUCAAGAAAUAUAUAGUGAACACGGCUAUUGUGAAGUUCAGGAUCUCCAAUGUGUAAGCAGUGAAAAGAAUCUACGCAUCCAAGAAGUAUCCAGUCGCUGUGACCAAGUCUUACUUUCCUGUGAGUUUUAGGUUUCUCUUGGGGCUUCUCACCUUGCUCACCCCUAGGAAGUUUGCUCUUCUUUUAAGGCUUUAAUAAAAGCUAACCCUUUCUUUCACUUCCCUUAGCAUGAUAGAUAUUUCUUUCAUUUCCCUUAGCCUGAUAGAUUAUUUCCAGUGUAAUAUAUCAAAUAUGAAGUGUUAAAAACAUUAACUUAAUAGGUAGGAACAAUGAAUUCAUAGUAAGAAGCAUAAGAACCAUCUUCACUGAAAGGAUUUGGUCACAAGGGCCAAAGAAGCCAGGAAAGGUGGUUCUCGGGCUUCAUACUUGGGGAGGUGCUACUGAUAUGGACAGGAGGCAAGGAAAUACUGGGUAGAAGAGGGCAGUUCCCUGGCAAAGGCCACACGCUCAAACCCUGGAUACCUGCAGCCCUACAUGAGAACAGGCAUUCCUGUUUUUGCACCCCCAAAGUUGCCUUUUGGCCCACCAUGCCCUCUAUCCUGCACGCAUAUAAACCCCAAACCCCAAGCUCCAGAAGCAGACCAGCAGGUGAGGAGAUGAGGAAAGCAAGCAGACGGACAGUGGAACAACGUGGCAGAGAAAGAGGGAAGAGGAGGGACAUUCAGAUGCCUAGAGGAGUUCGGCUGGGGCCAGAGAGGAGUCCGGCCGCUGGGCAGCCCGGCUCCAGAAGAAGAUCACCUUCCCUUCCAGCUCCCCAUCCAUCUUGCUGAAAGCCAUUUCCACCACUCAAUAAAACCUCGCAUACAUCCUUCAA